rnacentral:sRNA from 1 species
GACCGAUGGGGCAUAUGACUAUGUAUGAAGAACGUGAACCUUUGACAAGUUUUGCCUCUUUUUUUUUUGAAAAAUGAAGUAAUGUUUUAGUGAUGCCAGUUUCUACUGUUGUCGAGAUGGUACUCAUUGUUACACUAUAUAUAUACUCCAUUUCAUAGUUACAAGUUCUAAUGGCUUGUUCUGUGAGGUUAGAACUCCCAUAAAGUCUUAAGCAAAGUGUGGCGUUCUAUACUAGCAAAUGUUUCUUUAGAACAUGGUAAUUCGAGGUGGAGAAAUAAGUUCAUGAGAACCAGGCUAUGUUGAUUAAGAAACCGUAGUCAAUCAUGGUUUGUGGCCAUGAACCAAAUGCUUCAUCACAAUGUUAAGAGCAAUAUUCUUAGCCAUUUUAUACAAGCAGUAGCUAAAUCAAAGUUGUUCAUGUUGUAAUAGAGUUACAACCGAAAAGAUAUGGAUGUUGAUAUAACAUACUCACC